rnacentral:lncRNA from 1 species
GGGGGGGGUUGCGCCAAAUAACCUUGGUUACUGAUUAUGAUCUGAUAUUGCGUUGGUGCUGAAUCUCUGUUCAAUAUGUUUAUGAAACGGUCAGGACUCUGCAGGACACGGUGGAUUCAGGAAGGGAUGAUCUUUUAUUGGAUUUCUGUUCUUAAUUGAGGAAAGGUAUAAUCGCAUCAUCUCCCCACAUUUAUGUUUACUUUCACAGGGGCUGGAUUACUUUGACUGAUUUUAGUUUCUCAUUUCUAUACAUGCUUACAUUUAUUUGUAAUGUCCUUUUUUUUACUGAAGGGUGGUGAUCAUCUGAAGGUCAAUCUUUGGGCUGUCCAGUGCUCUUCUGGUAAUACCUAUAGGGUAUCCUGCUGCUAUACGUGUAAUGUCAUUGUUGCUUUUUUUUGGCAAUCAGUUAUCUGCUUCAGGUGAUUUUUGUUCUACAUGGCAGAGCGUCACAGGCUUUACAAAGCCAGUUGAGUCAGUAAAGCUUUGACGUUACACUAGGUGCUGGUGCAACAACUGGAGCAGUAAAGCUUUGAGUCAAUAAAGCUUUUACAGUUUCAAUGCUUCUUGCAAAACUAAACUCCUUUUAUGCUCUCAACAAUUUGACUCGACAACAUUUAUGUGUGUAGGUGAGUGAAAAUUCCUUUUGUGCAGAAGGUGCUACCAAUUUAGAGAUUGCUAAGAAAACCAUGCAUAUACAUAUAGCGACAACAGCAACAUUAAAAAUUAAAUAUUUCUUGCUUUGCUUGGUUUACGACCAUUAUACUAUUACAUUCAGCCCAUAAUCUGAUGUCAAUGUUCAGACUUAUUAAAAGUUAAGGUACAUUCUGAAUUCUUAAUUACUCCCUCCAUCCCAAAUUGUAAGUCAUUCCAAGAAUCUUGGAGAGUCAAAACAUUUUUACGUUUGACCAAAAUUAUAGAGAGAAAUACUAAGAAUUGUAACGUAAAGUUAGUAUACUUUGAAAAUAUAGUUAAGAAAGAAUUUAAUGAUAUUUAGUUGAUAUCAUAAUAAUAAUUAUUUUAUCAUAUAAAUUCGGUCAAACUUAGAAAAGUUUGAUUCUCCAAGAUUCUUCGAAUGACUUACAAUUUGGGAUGGAGGGAGUACUACAUAUCAGUUCGAGAGAAUUAUCUUAGUCAAUACACUUGAUCCUACAAGUACUUAUGUCACUUAGCUAGAUGUAUUCUAGACUUCAUGGAUACCUAAUUAUUAGUGACAGCUAUACAUCUACAUACUACCCUUUCAACGUUCCCAUGAAACAUAUAUUGCAAAAACAUGCCACCUAUUUAAGGCUUUCUCUUUUUGUGAGCUUUUAGCAACAACCUAAUUCUAAAGUUUUUUUUAAUACAACUGCAGUGUGAUAAUAGCAUAUUCAUUGCAGGAUAACACUAAUGUAUGAUCCCUCUUUUUUGUAGCCUUUUAGUGUAAUGGCUACUUACAAUAGCCGCUUAUGGUAAUUACUGGCGCCACACAGUUCAGCUAGAAUUAUUACCUUAAAGCGAAUAUUCUUCUCUAUUGUUGGCAGAGAUGGCCUAGGUAUACCUGUAACAAGUAUUGCUUCCACCCUUCUUGUCUCAUAAUGUAUAGCACUACCUAUUUGUCAUCUUCCAAAUUUGAAAUACUUGAAUGGUUCUUUAUGAUUCUGGCCAAUCAGGGUCACCACUAUAAUAGUGGCAUACAUGUAAGGACAGUUUUGGCGCAGAGAGUUCAUGUCUUCUUAACUUUUUAGUUGUUGCAGAAGCCAUGUACUCACCACACAUUUCAAGUUAUAUAUAUCGUACAUAUAGGAUUUUAAUUAAAAUAUGUUUUAUGUAUGUUUUUAGCCUUUUUUCUUCCUACAAUAGGCCAUUUAGACAUACGAUAUUUUAUAUUUAGCCCCCAUAUGCAGCCUGAGUUAAGAUAUUUUGAUGCUUUAAGAAUGAAGAUGCCAUUUUAGUUCCUACACAGACCAUUUAGGCUUUCAUGAAUUAGCUUCUGUGCUUAUUGGCGAUCCAUUAUUUUUAGGAAAAAGUCUACAUAACCCCCAAACUAUAUAAGGUGGAAUACUUCACUCUCCAAACUAUAAAACUGGAUAUUCUACCCCCUAAACUUUCAAGACCGGUCAAAUAACCCCCUCGAGUGGUUUUAGAGGGUGGUUUUGUCUUUUUCUUUUUUAUUUAUUUCCGCUGAAUCUUUGAAAAAUCAUAAUAAAUCAUAGAAAAAUCAUAAAAUAAAAAAUUCAAUUUUGUUGGACUCCUGAUGAGUAGAUCUACAUAGUAAAUAUAUAAUAUGAUAUACUUUAGUACAAAGUUUUUUCUAUAGCUUUAAAUCUAUGUUUUUCUGUAAUUAAUUAGAAUAAUUCAUAUAUGUAGUUCCUAUGGUCCAAUUGUGGUAAAAUUUUUAUGGUAGGCUCACUAUUGUAUACUUGAACUAUGGUAAAAAUUUCAUACUCAUUGGAUCACAUAUAACUUAGUUAUAGAUAAAGCAUAGAUUUAACAAGAAUAAAGCUAAAUAAAUCUAUAACUAAAUUUUACUUAAUCCAAUGGAUACCAAACUUUUACCAUAGUUCAAGCAUACAAUAAUGAGUCCACCAUAAAAAAAUUACCACAAUUGAACCAUUGGAACUACAUAUAUGAAUUAUUCUUUUUAAUUAUAGAAAAACAUAGAUUUAAAUCUACAACCAAAACUUUGUACUAAAGUAUACCAUAUUAUAUAUUCAUUGUGUAGAUCUACUCAUCAGAAGUCCAACAAAAUUGAAUUUUUCAUUUUAUGAUUUUUCUGUGAUUUAUUAUGAUUUUUCAAAGAUUCAGCGGAAAUAAAUAAAAAAAGAAAAAGACAAAACCACCCUCUAAAACCACUCGAGGGGGUUAUUUGACCGGUUUUAAAAGUUCAGGGGGUAGAAUAUCCGGUUUUAUACUUUGGGGGAUGAAGUAUUCCACCUUAGAUAGCUUAGGGGGGUUAUGUAGACAAAACCACCCUCUAAGACCACUCGAGGGGAUCAUUCAUUGCUCUAUUUAUUGAUGCCACUUCAUAGUCAUGAUAAAGAGUUUUCAUAGAUGCAAUGCCGCUCAUAUGUACAGAUUCUAUUCUUAGUUCUUAGGAUUGUUCUAGCCAAAUAUAUAUUAAGCUAAAUAUUUGCUCUAUGCAUUUUAGUUGGCAGUGCUACCAUACACCAUGACUUUGACCACUAUAGAUGGAUCUGACGAAUCAUCAUGCUAUGCCAACAAUUUCAAGCUCCUUCAAAGGCUUCUCUGAUGACUUCCUGCUGUCGACAGGUUACCUCUCAUUGGGGUAGUCACAAUGGUGAGAUUCCUUAGUGUUCCAUUGAAAUUAUAUAUGCCAUACUUUGCCCUUAUCACUCAAAUUAAAUUAUUUUACAUUUCAUUUCCACACACUAUGCUUUACUGUUUAACACGGUCAAAUUGUGUGUUCCUGAGGUAACUAUAUCUGCCAUGGAGUGGCCUUUAUUACUACACAGGCUGUACUUUUGAUGUCUUCAUGUUGUAUUUUCCUGAUGCGCUUAGAGGCUUAGAACAUCGUGCUAUCCACAUAUUGCCACUUCAUGCCAUGAUCCACAUAUAUUCCUUUUCCAAAUUCUUUAAAUUACACCAAUUAUAGCUCUCCAAAGAUAGGGACUUUGUUUACUCAUUAUCCUUAUUGUAUUGUGCUGUUCAAGGUUACCUUCUCUGCCCACCUUAUUGUUUCUAUAUGCUUCUUUUUCAUAUUCUUAUUUAGGGGCUUUUGACCUCCUUUUUCAAGGUACCUGACAUGCAUUAUUCUCAUUGCUUUCAUAUGUUGACCUCCCAUUAUAUCGUGGAUUACUCCAAUUCUUGCAGUUCUGAAAUGAUCAGAAACAACCAUUGAUAUGCACUGAAACAUUGGAAGGGCAACACGCUACGAGCACAUAUAUAUCAAUCCAUGCAUCAGCAUCGAUUGUGUUGACUUAUUUAAGGAUGUCUAGCUUGAACUCAUGUUAUAUGCCUGUAUAAUAUUCCUCCACCUUCAUGAUUUACCACACGAAUUAUAUAUGUAUCUUAUAAAUAGUAUCAAUGUAUACAUCUCCUUAUGAAUUACUCAGUUUGAACAUCAAAUUGAAUUGCAAAUAAUCCCAUAAUCUGUAUUUUGAACAUCCACGCACUUUCUCCAUAUUUAUAAUUUUUCAUAUAGCUGCUCAUGCGCGCGAUGGCGCGCGCCCUUCACUAGUGGAUAUGUAAGCGACAAGUGAAGGAUCAUUUGUAUCGGACGAAUGAGCAAAAAACAAGAAUUGAUAUCAUCAAGUAAACGACAAUCUUUUUAAGCGUAGAGAAAGAGGAGACACCCACAUUUUGGGCACCCUAGUAGCCUACUCUCUUCGUCCUAAAAUAAAUGUUGUUUGCGCUUUCCGAGAAAUAAAUUUAAUUAAAUACAUAAUAAAAAAAUAUUAAUAUUUAUAGUACAUAAUUAGUAUCAUUGCAAAGAUCUUUAAGUCUAAUUUUUUAACAAAUUUAUUUAGAGAUAAAAAUAUUGCACGUAUUUUCUACAAAUUGAGUCAAACUUGUGGCACGAAAACCUAAAACGACACUCUUUUUGGGACGGAUGGAGUACAUCUUUUGUGCUAACUUGUUUAUAUUAUACAUUACAAAAAUAGCAUCUUGCUUUCUUUGACUUCCUCCACCCAUCUUGGAUCUUGCAUCACUAUGUGGUCUGCUUACUUUUGCUAGCAAGUACCUCCCUCAUCACCUCCUUCUACACCACCGAUAGCGCUGCAAAUACCAUCAUGCAUCCUUCGUUCACCAGCACGUUGUUCCUCUCUCAUCAUCUCGCAUGUCACGUGUCAUCACCCGUGCUUGUAGCCUCCCUAAAACUGUCUCCAACGACUCAUUCUAAAUAAAUUUAGGUACAUGCAAUUCAUACCUAGUCUUCUCCAACAACAAGGCUAAAAAAAAUAACUCUUCCUGCAAAUAGGUCUUGAGAAGAGAAGAUACUUAUAUUUGUGUCAUACCUCUCCUGAUACCCAAAAUAGAUUAUAUAAGUAUACUCUAUUGGAGGCUAUAAGUAUUGUGUUGAAGACUCAUUUUGGAUUUGGGUCUCUUAAAAGAUUACCUGUUGGAGACAGCAUAAGGUCCUCCACAAUGGACGAGUGAUGCCAUAAAAAAGUAUGUCCUAUAAACAGUAUUAGACAUCGAGUACUUAGUGGCUGCAGUGAAUAGAGUAAAAGAAACCAUAGCUAUCUCUUGUGUGCUACCUCAAAUAAUACAUGUAUUUCUUCUGUCUCUAAAAGCUUUAAUUCUUAGAAUCUGUGUCUGACAAAAUUUUUUAAGUUUGACCAACUUUAUAGAAAGAAUCAUCUAUGACAUAAAAUGAGUAUCUUAUGAAAAUAUAUUCUAUGAUAAAUCUAAUGGUACUAAUUUGGUAUUAUAAAUCUUAAUAUGUUUUUCUCAAAAAUUGGUCAAAGUUUAAAAAGUUUUACUUAAGACAACUCUAAAAAUUAAAGUUUUUUGGGACAGAGAAAGUAAUAAUAAAAUAGUAUUUAUGCUAGCUUAAAUAGGACGGACGUACUCAGGUUCUAUCAUGCAUGUACAAAAAGAAUAUGUGUUGGAAUGUAAAAAAAAAAAGUUAUUGAUUAGACAAGCUCAUGCCGAUAUAACACAUAUUUACAAGGUGGCAUGGCCGGGGACUCAGAAGAAAGCCUUCUCUAUUAAUUGGAAUUCCUCAUGAAGGUCGGAUACUAGAUUUUAUCUUGUUCUCUAUGUUAUUCCCUUCGGUUAACCCUAUGAUAUUUAUGAAAAGAUAUACUACUUGCCCCGCUUCCAUAUUUUUUUGUCACCACUAGAAGUUGUCAUCUCCUCGUGCAGUGUAUUGCGCAAUGUCCAAACUUCCUCUUCCAUUUUUAGCAUCACUCAAGUGACACGCUGUGGAACACCUAACCUUCCCUUUAGGCCUUAUGCAAUGUGUGUUCUAGGAGUAGCCCUUGAAACAAAGGCAAAAGGUUUGGAGCACUACUCCCUACACCGCAAGUACCGAUACCCACUGCUAGUAGAUGGGGAGCAGAGCAAGUUCAAGCUCCGGUUUCAACUUAAUAGAAUACUAGGUGAAUUCCCCGCGCGUUGCUGCGGGAUUUUCUUAAAAAUAAAUCAUUAUAUACAUAGCACUACUACACGGUAUUUAGUCUAUUACAUAUGUACACAUAUGAAUUUGACUUUGCAUGUAUUUUAUUGUAUUAGAUCUAGUAAAAAAUUGCUAAGCUAAUAAAACAAAAACUAAUAUUUGGUUACAUUAUAGAGGAAUUAAUUGGUGAUGAAACAAUUAAUGUAUGUACAUGACUUGUAGGUGAAUAUAUUAAAGAUUUAAAGUAUUUCACAUGAUAUAGAUGACAUGGUUAUUUUUUAUAAUUAAUAUAGAAUGGUAUGGACUUAGUGGAGAAUGAUGUGGACAUAUUGCAUGAAGAGAUAAAAUAUUUAGUGGGUCAUUUAGUGGGGAAUGAUGUGGACACCUUGCAUGAAGAGAGAAUUCAUCUAGUGGGGUUUAGCUUUAUAAGAGUUAUAGAUAUGUUUGCACGAUGGUAGGAAGAGAAAAGAGAGACGCGCAGUACUGAGCCCCGGAGAGAAGAGGCUGAACAUGUUGGACACACUAGUGAUGCCUUUCAUUGCAACAUGAAGUGAUCCCCUUCAUCAUACGUGGGACCCAUUUAUCUGGGUUCAACCAUAUCCGUUGUGGAGGGCCUUAGCAGCCACAAAACCUUCUUCCCAUGUCAUAACUUCAAAUUUUAAUCAUAACACUAGUCUAGAGCUUGUCGAAGUUGAUGUUUCAGUUGGAGACGAAGAGGUCAAUAAAUUUGGCGUGUCUUGAUUUUUUUUCUUCACACAUCAUCUAUCCCUUCCUCUUUUUUUCCUCCAAAUCUAGAUAUCUCUCGUUAACUCUCACAAUUUAGAAAAUGCACUUUGAUUGUUGCCUGUUGGUGUUUUCUUUAUUGAAGGUACCGUAUCAUAAUAGAAUUACAAUAUGAACUCACUAGCUAACAAAAGAGUGUUGACUUCCUUUUCCCUUCAGGCUCCAUUCGGUUACCCUGGAACAGGUCGUUCCGUGCGAGGAACGGUUCCGAUGUUAUAGAAAUUAGUGAACAAACGGUCAACCAGAAAUCAGUCUCAUACAACCAAACAAGGCCUGACAGGGAUGCUUGGCAUACUCAAUCUCAGUUUUUUUUAGAAUUAUUCAUCCUAAUUUUGUAAUUUCUACAAACUUUUGGAACUGGUUCCAUGGGCGCAAUAUUAAAGGCAUUUCAUUGAGCAAUUUUUGCAUUAUUUUAGUCUAACACACAUAAGCCUUAAUCAUUUUAUUGUUAUUUUACAAAAAUUAAUCUGACAUAGAUUUCAAGGCUAGAGCAUUGUCUAAUAGGGCCAUAUAUAUCUCUUAUAUAUACCAAAAAGUUGCAAGAAAUGGUGACUAUAGCCUCAAAAGCAAUAUAUAAGUGCCAUUGGACAGACACUCUUAUCAUGUAUAUCAAUUCAGUUUUGUUACAUUAAACAUAUGCUUUUAACCAGUUUUUUUUUUAUGUGUGAUUUAACAAUAAAGCGAAUGGUAGAGUUUCCAAUUAAAUCUUAGAGUAUGAUUAUGAUGAAAGGAGAUAAGAGAGUGGACCGGUUAGUAUCGACAAUCUUCUACCACGAUUUUCUUACAAAUGCUUAUAGAUAAUUGUCACUUAUGAUGCAUGACAUUGCUAAAAUAAAAGGAGAUAUGUAAAUUCACAUGGUACAGCCUCCAAACGCUGUUAAAUGGUUUUCUAGUGUUACACAAUCAACCAAAUGUGCUUGAUACAUUCAUCAUGCUAGUUCGACGUUCCAUGGUUAAGUAACUGCUCUGAGGCCAUAUGUGAUUGAUCAUAUAAAGGUCUGAAUGCUUUUGCUUCAUUAGCAGUACAACAACUUCGGACGUUCCCUUCUGUUGGAAAACUGGAACGGUCGCUUCUGAUGCUAUUGCUUCUGAUGCAGUUCACUGUCACUUACAUGGAGAUGCCACACAACAAAAACUUGCCAAGCUUUAUGUUGCCAAAGUCUCAGUAUUUUACAGACGAACACAAGAAGAUGCAGAUCCUCUAACCGUCCAGCGUUUUCACCAUUCAGGCCCCUUAGGGGAAAGCACCAACUUGUCUUUCGGGAAUAAUUCGGAGAGAAAUCUUUCUACAGAAUCAGUAAACAAGCUGGGGCUCAAAUUCAGCAAAAUCAACUGAGCCAGACUCGAUGGGGGGCAUGAGGUAUGCGGCAAUGAUCUCAGACACCAGAGCGGCAAUGAGAGGAAUCCUCUUCAGGUUCUUCACUAGGGGAAUGUCGUCAGAUUCUCCGAUGGCAAUGAUCUUCUGGUUGAUCACAACCAUCCUGUCAAGCUUCCUCUUGAAUUCAGGGUUCUCUACAUCCAGAACAGCAGGGAAGAUCCUCGCUGUUGUGCGGUUGGUCUGCACAGGUAUGCACGUUUUUACAUUGUCAGUAGCAGCCUUAAUUCACACCAACAUUUCUAGAAGCAAUUCAUAGAUUCUCCUAAACAUUGAUGAACUACAACAAGCUUUAUGUGAAUUCCUAAUAUUUUAUAAGGACAUUAUUGCGAUGUCCAGCAUUGUUCAGAGAAAACGUAUGAAAUAUAGCAAACAUGUUAAAAAUGAAAUGAUAAGCUCAUUUAUACCUCAAUGAUCACAUGCAUGUCAAAUUCUUUAGUGUCCAGACCAAUUCCCUCAUAGAAUGCAGUGCGUUGGCAGUCAUUCAGGUACAUGGUCACAUACACCUGCAAAAGGUCAUGUAACACAACUAUCAGGAGUGAAAACCUUUGGAGUUAAUCGAUCUAUAUAACAAAAGAAUAGCUCGAAAUUACCGAGAGGCAGAAGAACCGUGACCAGAGCUUGGCCUUCCAGUCAUUGAGGAACUGCGGCUGAGCCUUGAGCAGGGCAGAGAAGAAGUCACCGUGCCUGUUCUCGUCCUGGCACCAGUUUUCGAAGUACUUGAAGAUAGGGUACACCUGAUACUCUGGGUUCGCUUUGAGGUGCCUGAAGAUGGUGAUGUACCUCCAGUACCCGAUCUUCUCAGACAGGUAGGUGGCAUAGAAGAUGAACUUGGGCUUGAAGAAGGUGUACUUCCUAGCCUUGGUCAGGAACCCCAGGUCCAGCGCCAAAUUGAAGUCAGACAGUCCCUUGUUCAAGAACCUAGACAGCACAAAUCAGAAGAAACUUUCAGCAGAAUUUCUCCAUGCCUCCUAUAGCCUCAAAUUGGACACCAUAAGGAUAACAUGCAUGGCUGGAUUCUUAUGGACAGUUGCUGGAAUCAACCCUCAAAUGUGUUGGCCUAACUAUUACUACUACUGACUACUUCAUUGACAAUGAGUAUUUUGUAUGCUCAUAUUGUAACCACGCUGGUUUAAAUUGAGGCAGCAGCAAACUUAGAAUAUCUACAUUCCUUGUCAAAUUGAGGUAGCAGCACCGGCAUAAGUUUUCAUGAGACAGACAGACAAUUACAUUUCUAGUCUUUAUAAGAUAUAAGAAUGCAUGGGUUGGCUACUAAUUGCACGCAUUGUUGUGUAGGAUGAACGAAAAGAGAUAAGGUGUGUACCCAGCAUGGCGCGCCUCGUCCCUGGACAUGAGCGAGAAGAUCUCCGCCACGACCGGGUUGGUUUUCUGCAGAGGAAAAGCAGGGCAUCAGCGCACGCCCACCAGGUGGUCGAGGAAAUGCACGAGGCAAGCAAAGAAAGAAGCGGGAAGGAACCUUGAGCCUGCGGCCGAGCUCCUUGUAGAGGAGGAAUCCGGAGAACUCGGCGGUGCAGGAGCGCUCGAGGAACUCGACGAAGAUCUGGCGGAGCGGGCCCUCCAUCUUGUCGGCGGCGGCCUUGAACUCGGGGUUGCGCACGAAGUGGGUCUGGUUGUAGUCCGUCUUGAACUCCUGCAGCAGCGCGUCGAACUCCGCCUGGUUGAGCUGCUUGUUGAUCUCGGCGUUGAAGAGGCGCUCCAUCUCGUCGAAGUCGGUGGUGUAGAACCGCGGCGUGAGCAGCGUCUCCUGGAUCUCCGUCUUGCCCCGCUUCUUGGGGCCCGACGACUUGGGCGGCGCCGCGGCCGCGGCCGAGGCGGACACGCGGCGGAACCGGACCACGGAGCGCCGCGCGAGGGGCAGGCCCCCAAGGUGGCGGUGCGUCGCGGCGGGGUUGAGGAGCGAGAGCUCCAUGGCGGAGGCGGCCAUUGGUGGCGGCGACGGGGUGGACGGACUGGGGGCAGCGGCGGGAGCGAGCUCUAGCUCAGGGAGGAGGCGUAUAUGCUCAUGCCGCGGCCGGCGCGUGGUGACAUGGCGGCGGGGGAUUGGGACUGCGAGCGGUGAGAGAUAAGGUGGCGAUGAGGUGUAAUCCGGGGCUUCUAAUCGCCGCGCGCCAUGUGUGAGUGAGGGACCCCAAUCUAGCCGCUCACGGUUUUCGCGCGUAUCUUUCUCCCUCUCUCUGAUUUUCCCUUUUCUUUCUUUCAUUUCAUUUUCACAAAGGAUUGAUGUGAUUUCUUCUUCUUUCUUUCUUUCUUUCUUUUUUCUUAUGAUGAAAUGUUCCAAGCCACAUGUUUUGUUGGAGGGAACAAAUGGUUGGUUCAGGUUCUUCUUGCUCUAAUUCAUGAAGCGCGCACAGCCCUUUUCUUUUUUAAAAAAAAAAAAUAUGGAAGGUUCCCCAAAGGCAGGACAAGGAGUGCAGGUCUCGAUAUUUCUUUCAUGAAGCUUGCAUGCCCAUUUUAAGUUGGACAAUUCUUUGCUCCUAAAGGUAUGUCUAGAUAAGAUAGUGUUAGUUAUUAGUUGAGACUAAAAAUUUAGUUUUAGUUAGCUAAAGUUGGUCAGCUAAUUGACUAACAAUUAGUUAGAGCCUUAGACUCACGAUUAGUUAGAGCCUUAGAGGCUUGGCUAAAAAAUUAGAGCCUUAAAGGCUCUGAAAAUUGGCCUGUUUAUUAGCGCUGCUGUUUGGAUAAGUUAGAAUUAAUUUUAGCUAAGUUUUAGUUAGCUACAAGUACAAGAGCUCUCGAUGUCUAUUAGAGCAUCGCCAAUAGUUCUUAGUUCUCAAGAAUAAUAAUAGGAAAAUCAAUGAUUUUUCCAAGUGGCUAAAAAAUAUUAGGAGCAUAUUUGUUGUGUUCCUCUAGCGGUUUCCAAAAUCUCGCUUCUAAAAUAUAGAAAUCAAUUUUGCAAAAGAAAAUAUGUCUCUCAAACUAUUUAUAAAUAGCUCCAACCACUUCUAUAAUGUUACGUCUAAUAUUGCAGCCUGAAAAAUAGCUGGUGGGAGAACCACCCACUCGCACUUCAAAAUUCCUAUCAUCGUCGACGAUGAGGCCUUUUGCAACUUCGUGAAAUAGAGUGAUACUACCAAGCUACUUUCAACGACAUCUCUCAUUAUUUUAAAUGAGGUUAUCAUGAAAGGAGGCAAGCUAUCAAGGUGCUAAAUAACAACCUACAUGAUAUAAUGGACCGGCCUAAGCUAUCAUUUAGUGGGAAGACUAGUUCGAAGAGGAUGAGGGUUCAGUUAGUCAUACCAUUAGGAUUCUAUGUGAGAUCUCAAACUAGUGCAUAGCAUGAAGACAAAAGAGUGACCCAUGGAUUGUAGAAUACCCAUUGCACAUCGGUGGAGGCUCUAUGGAGGCCAAUGGUGAGAGUGAAAUCUGUCUUCCUCGUGACAUAUGGGUAACCACACAAGGAAAGAGAGUGCUCUCGAUACACUAAUUGGUUGCAUGUUCUCUAGGCUCAGUGCAAAUAUGUCAAACAAAAACUGUAUCACCGGUAUUAUUUACGCUGAGGAUGAUUGUGUUGAUAUGAUUAACAUGAAUAUGUAGGUCAUUUCCAAAGGGAUGAUAUGAUGUGACUAUAGUUUCGGCUAUGUAAUGGACGAUCGGCAUAACUACAACUCUUAGGAAUUCCUUACACCCAAUGAUCUACUGCCACAUGUGUUAAAGCUGAAGAUCAGCUUUUGCUUAGGAAUAUUAACCUUGCGAAAGACUUUGCAAUGGUUAGCCUUAUUGGGUUCCAAAAGAAAAACCAUCGAGUGAGGCAGCAAUGCCGGAAAGCGGAUUUUUUUCUACCUUGCAUGCCCUUAUGCUUGUCUAGUGAUGAGAUGUUCUUUUCUAUUUUAAGAGAAAGCAGUUUUCCAUUUAGUUUAGCUUUGCCAUGACCAUCAACAAGGCACAGGGAUAAACUAUCCCUAAUGUUUGGGUGUACUUGCCAAAACAAGUGCUCUUGCACGGUCAAUUAUAUGUAGCACUAUCUAGAGCCUCAACAAGAUCGCACAUCAUGAUAUUAGUCUUAGCAGCGAGAAAGUUGUGAAAAAAAGAGAAGAAACAUAUCUUCACAGUAAGAGCAACUCCAACAGCUUUGCUAUUCUUAUUAUGAAGGCUUUUUAGAAUUUGUAUAGCAGAAAAAUAGGCUCCAACAGAUAUGCUAUUUGGUUUUGUAAAAUAGAAAGUUUGUUAUUCCUAGCAAGGCUGUUGUGGACCUCUUCUUUUUUAAGAAGUUUUCUAUUUUACAAAAUGGCUAAACAUUAGAUUUUGGCUACUAAUUUUAGCCAAACUCUUGGAGAUGCUCUAAUUGAUAUAUAUAUACAAAGAAUAUCAGCUAUAAAGAGGUUACUUGACUGCUAGUGGUGAUCGGGGCUAUCCGUGAGUACUCGACAUGGUGAGAUACAAGUCCUAAAUGAUGCAAGACUUUGGUAAAAGUUUAAUAAAACUAUAAAACACCAAACUGAAUGAUAAAAGCCUGCUACAUCUAACUGGAUGGUCAAACUGCAAAUUAUCUGAUUGUUAAACAGUUGUAAAAAUCAAUCCAUGUGACAUGGCUCUUCGUUUCUUCAAUGGCAUUUGGGUCCUUAAAUCUCUUAAUCAUUUUUUUAAAGUUUUUGCGUAUACAAAGAAAUGAGGAUGGAAUUAAACUUUAUAUGGAACAAAAACAUCUUCUAAUCAACACAUUUGAAUAUGAACACUGAAGUAGUGAACGUACUUGUUUUUAGCAGGGAAGUUUUCCCGAAAUAAGAAAUUGUAUCUUUUCUGCAUUGCUUUUUUUUUCUCUAUCGAGCUAUGAGCUCGUAUUUCAUUAAAUGGAAGAAAGGUUAAAAGUUACAAACGCCUAGCCGAAGUGGGCGAGGAGCCCUCAAGCACUGCCAGCGCCCCCUAACUACUUGAAGCCAUAUUGCUAACGAAAUCAUCACGUUUAUAGCCAGUUGCUGUCUAAGGUUGCCCAAUUCUGUUCAGCACGUAGGUAAUCAUCGCAAUGUGCGUUCCUCCGUGCUCCGUUGGAGAUGAUAGGUCUAACAGAUCUACUACUAGUAGAAUGAAUGGGUAUCCGAGGUACAAAGUGAUAAGAACAGUAACACAUAUACAUGUAGUAGAUCUAGUACAACAGAGUAAAAAUAGAGAGACACAUAGAUAUGGGAAUUUAGGGUUUCGACCGUUGUUGGCGGGAGCAGAUAUGGAAGCAUCCAUGGUGAUGGAGUUGACGUGGUGACGCAGUAGAUCCCAUCGUCCUUCGGGCCUCCACCGACACUGACCGACGACGGCGGGGAAGGAGUAGGACGGAGGCGGCGCGGUGGUGCUUCCCGACGCCACUGCACGAGCCGAUCGGAUGGCCUGGGGAUGUGAGUAGGGUUUUGGCGGCGCACGAUGAACUUCGUGUUGUGCCUGUAGCCCCCUACUCCUAUAUUUAUAGCGCAGCGCGUCGGGGGCCCACCAACCAUAGAUCGGUUAGGCGCCUCCGAUCAGGACGCGAUCCAGAGGGGAAAAGGCCUCAGCCGUUGGGCUGAGCCUGAGAUCAAUCUAACAUCUAGUUGGUAGUUCCUAUUCCUGUAGCAGUCUGAACGCAGUGUAAGCGAAGAUUCGGGGUAAGGCCCUGUUUAGUUUGAGGAUGAAAAUUUUUUGGGUGUCACAUCGAAUAUGUCGGAAGGAUGUCGGGAAGAGUUUUUAAAAACUAAUAAAAAAAUAAAUUACAUAGCUCAUCAGAAAACUGCAAGACAAAUCUAUUAAGUAUAAUUAAUCUAUUAUUAGCACAUGUGGGUUACUGUAGCACUUAAGGCUAAUCAUGGAGUAACUAGGUUUAAAAACUUCGUCUCGUGAUUUUCAACCAAACUGUGUAAUUAGUUUAUUUUUUUAUCUAUAUUUAAUGUUCCAUACAUGUGUCCAAAGAUUCGAUGGGAUGGAUGAAAAAAUUUUGGGUGAGUAACUAAACAGGGCCUAAAUGAAAUUCUUGAGCUACCGUCAGGCUGCAAGCCUGCACCUGCUAUUUCUAAACACAGAGCUAGGAAUCUGAGGAUGGAUGGACGGAUGUAUAUGCGUCUUACCUUGGUCUGAGGAGCACGGCGGAUUCAGUCGGCGGCGGCGAGCUUCAGUUUUGCCGAAAGCGGCGGGUGACGCCGAGGUGAAGGUCGCCUAGAUCAUAGGCGAACGUCAGCGUCGUGCACACCCCCGGAUCGGAUCCACGGCGAGCUCGAGGUUCGUGUGGCCGCCGGUCCCUGGCGUGUGACGACUGCCUGCCGGCUGCAGGCGUCCUGUUGCCGUUCCUCGGCCGCCGGCCCCUGGCGGAUGCGGCCCAACCAAUAGUGGCGAUGCGGCCCAACCCAACCCAACCCAACCCAAGCGACGAGAAACCAAUAACGAGGAGGCUCUCCUCUCUCUCUCAGCAGUCACGGUUCGCCGGUUCCUCCGACGCCGUCGGCGGCUCGUCGAAUCUCCGCUCGCCGCUGGUACUUCGCCGUCUCCCUCGGCACCGGAGCGAGCGAGCAGAUGCACUAGCAAGCGCUCUCUGCCUCCGUCCUCCUCAUCCCUCAUUCCCCCGUCUUCCCCAGCGCGGUAUUGCUACUGCCCCAUCCUCUCAAGGAUCGAGCUCUACUGCCUCUACGCCGUGGACAGCGGCUUCAUGGCUUUCGGUAGACCAGAGCAGGAGGGGAACCCUUCCUGCCAAGCCCACAACACCACAGGACGACGGCCACUGCACACAACCAUGUGGAGGAGGGAAGAAGUGCUGCGUGAGAAGCCUAGCUUCAGAGUAGAGUGUUCAAUUGUUGUAAAUUGAUGUGUGGAUUGAGGUUGUGGCUCCAUUGAGUAUACUGAAGGAAUAUCUAUCAAUUUCCGAGUUUGAUUGUUGCAUCAGUUCAAGACUUCAAUGUUUGUGAUUAUUAUGUCAAUUUGUAAGCUCUCUAUAGCAAAAGAGAUACUUCAAAUACAUGCUAAAAGAAUGUCAGUUUGAUAUAUGAAGAUGGGGAGACGUUUACCUGUCCCUUGUGAGCUGAGCUCUCAAUUUGAGUCACAUAUGAUUGUUUCAAUUUGUGACCUCUCAAUGGCAUUCACACAUACUUGCAAAAGACUAAACAUCAAGAGUGCUCUCAAUUUGAGCCAUAUGUUUGAUAUACACAACUGAACAUUCAGGUGGCAAAAGACUUCCAACAGGCAAAAGACACUCAAAUGGCACAUCGGAGAAUGUUUGCUUCAUACAAAACUGCAUCUGCAUACAAAACCCCAGAAUUGCUCCUUUGCUUGCAAAAUGGCAAAAGUGCUCUAAAAGUUCACCAGUCUCUAAAAUAUCUCUAGGUCACAAGCUCUAAAAUCCAUUUUUAUAGACGGCUGGAUUUAGAAUCUGCUCUAAAGAUCGGGGUAUUUUUAGAGGCGGAUGCUGCAAAUGAAUUUGUAAAGGUGAAUCGUUUUGAAAACCACUUUUAGAUACGGAUUUUGGUUGAGCCGCCUUGAAAAAAAGACCUCUGUUGCUAAAAAUAGUUUCCAUAAAUGAACGCUGAUUAUAUAUCUCUUGUGGUGGGUGCUCAUGUCUGUUUACCGUGUUUCACACACAGAGAGAGAACAUUUUUACCCUAAGUUAAUAAUCUCAUGCAUAUCACUAAAAGACCCGUCCUUUUUUUUAGAUCCCAGAGGAGAUAGUGAUGUUUAUUAUCGAUAAGGACAUGCAGGAACAACAAUUACCUGAUGUCGGUCCAGGUGUACAACAUUGCAAAGUUUCACAAUGAUAAAUACAAAGUGGUUUUAUUCACGUUGUGCGUUAACAUGAAACAAAUGUAUCACAACAACUAGUUCUUGUGGAGAUUCCAAACUGACAGGAAGCAUAUAUAACAGAACUGUGACCAGCGUGGAGAGAAAAGAAAAAAAAACCGUCAUGGUAGAAUCAUGACUAAAAGGAUAUUUAUUCCCACAUAAUGUUGUGCAUGACAAUGCCAUAUUUUGUCCGUGAACAACACGGUUGAGACUUGAGAGUCCAAACCAAAAUUGUUGAAAUGUUUUCACCAUGAUGACAAGGAAUGCAGCGGCGGUGGACCUUUCAGCCAGUACAGGACGAAGGCGAAGCUGUCAGCGUAUCGAGGCCCAAAUCCCAGCAGCGGCUCAAAGCACAGGAUGACCCCCAAAGGAGCCUUUGGAACCGCUUGCUUCCUAUUUAGACAAUGAUCAUUUGAUUCCUCCACCUCUCCCUUUCUCUCGCCCUUUUCCUUUUCAGUGUGGCCAUCAGCGUGUGACAAGGACUCCUGGCUGGAACCUUGUGUCCAUAUCACUCUCAAAGUACCUUUGCAGAUGCUGGUGAGUGGUAUCCUUUUUUAUUUGCUUGUGUAUAUUUCCAUUUUAAUUGGUUCUUCUCUGAGGCCGUUUCAGGUUGUUGGUGAAAUUGCUGGUUUUAUGCCCUCUAUCUCUUGUAACUGACUUACCACCAGGUGCUAUCACUACUAGAAUAACCUUCCUUUCCUUUCAGGGAAGGACAUAUAAAUGUGUACUUCGACAGUUGUAUAUUUUUUACACUUCAUGAGAUGUGCCCUGGCAGUGGCAUUUCAUCUUCAUUCUUGAUAGGUGCACAAUAUGUUUUAUCCACAUAGACUGUGUAUGGUAUGGUAUGGUAUGCUUGGUUUAGAAACUUAUCAAUGUGGGUGAAGAGUGAUACAUAAAAACAAAGAACAACAAUAGCAUUAACAGAAUAUUAAGAAAAACAUUCAGAAAAUAAAGUUGAAAAAAAAUAAAGACCAAGGAGAGCUUCUUCCGGAAGAUGAAACAAACCUGUACUUUUUGUUUCUUCUCCUAAAAGCAUAUGAGUUUCUUCUUAAAAAGAAAGAAAUAUAUGCCUUUCCUUUCAAAACCAAUUCAAGAUAAAUUCAUUUUGACGCACACUUAUUUUCUCAAGGAAGGAUAUGUUUACUUCAAGUUCAAUACUUUUUACUACUUUACAAUUCAUUAUGUAGGUGCAGUAUCAUAAUGAGCACACAAAUGUAUCCUAUGAUGCUAAGGCCCUAUUUGGUAUAGCUUAUCUGGAAAGCGCUUUCUAGAUAAGCUGCAGUGGUCAAAAUAAGUUGGUGCGAUCCAGCUUUUGUUUUUUAUACAAAUGAGAGCACAGAGAAUAAGGGCCGCUGAAAUAAGUUGAAAAAAGCAUACUGCUUGGCUAAUGGUUUUAGCUCAUUUUGACCAUAGCAGCUUAUAAGUUGUACGCAACAGGCCCAAAUCACUACGAGAUUACAGUGAGCGAUGUUACAAACAAAGACAAGGUGACUUUGGUUCGAGAAAUGAGAUGGGACAGUCCUCCUUUCAAUGUUGUUUGGUUGAGAGUUAAGGGGGACAGAGAUAUCCCUACAAGGAAUAUUUGCUUGAUAUUCGAGGCAAACCCAUCCCUUGAAAAUCAGCGAAUACACUCGUCCCACUUUGACAUCAUGAAUGGCGCGUCUAUUUGCGUGGGAUUGAGUGACUGAGCAAGGGACGCAAGGGAGGAGAUGGUUAGGGAGGGAGCACAUAUGGUGGGAGCAUCGAUGGCUUGAACAACCGAUUAUGGGUCCAAACGGUCAAGUGGGCGAUGGCGAGGCAGAAGCAAGGGAGGAGAAGAUGUGAUGGGGCAAGGACGGAGAAUGCAUGGGGGCAUGAUGGAGGAGAUGGUCGAGGAGGAGUGGAGAUGGUGGAGGGGUUGCGGCUUGCGUGGUUGGGUGCUAGUCCAGAUAGCCAGGUGGGAAAUGGUAGAGCGAGAACUGAGCAUCAGGGCACGAGGGAGGAGAUUUCUAGGGUGGGAGCGACGGUCAUGGUACAAAGCGGGGCCAUGGGUGGACAAUGGUGAAGACAUCCAUGGGCGAACCUAGACUUGAUGAACCAAGGUGAAUGUCAUCCAUUGCUAGCCGUUGUCGCCUCCUGAUGGAGGUUGCUAGCCGAGCGCCCCCGGUUUGGCAGCGACUAUCAACGGCGACCCACCCUUGGCUCGAGCGACGACAUCUGAGCGAGCCACCUGCCUCCUCUACGUUGUCUUCGCUAUGUUGUAUGUGAUUGACAUAUGGGUCCCACGUGACUGGUAUCUAGGGAAUUGUGGCUAACAGAUUGGAAAAAACAAAGCUCAUUCCUUCUCCUACUGCCACUCGUACCAAACGUAAAACAAGGACACCUAUGUCCUCUUAACUAAACUAGGAUAUAAAACCAUCACAUCCCUGAAAACUAGAAUGAACCCGUCCUGUCUCGUUCACCCAAGCCAAACACAAUCUAAUUAAAUGUUACCAUGCUAGAAAAAUGUAUAUGGUAUACUUGGUUCAAUGGCAAAGCUAGAACUUAAGAUUUGGUGGGAAGGGACAAAUGUCAAUAGGAGGGCCAUUUACUCUUCAAGAACAUCACAAAUUAGGUAGGUCAUUAAGGGUUUAGUUAAAAAAUAACAAACUUAGGGGGUGGGUCUGAGGCCCUUCCAGCCCCUUAUCGUCGCCCUCAACUCCAAGAGAUUUUUUUAUCCUUUUCAUAUUGACAAGAACAGAAAUUUUAGUGAAAAUACCUUUGACCAACUUCUUUAAUUUGAUAUUCAAAUACUGUCAUCCUCUAUUUCGAUUUCACUAGCCAAAAACAAAGAGCAGAGCUGAUUUUCUAGAGUGUGUGCAAGGUACGGAGAAGCUAUUGGAACGUAGAAACAUACAAAUAACAUUUUUAUUUAAAUAUUUCUCCAAAUAAAGAUUUAGAGAGUGAGAAGAAAAACUUCUUGAAGUAAUUUAUCUUGAAACAAAAAACACCGUGCACUGUCCUUUUACAAAUAUAAAGCCUUAAAAGAAUAAUCUUUUAGGAAAUCAAAAUUCAAAGCAAUAAAGCCAAGGAGCUUUCUUCAGGGAAAUGGAACGAGGUUGUACUGUCUUUAUGCUCAUAUAAAAAUCAUGAUUUUUUUUCUCCAAAAGAAAAGAAAACUAUACCUGUCUUCUAAGACAGAAAUAAAGAUAAAAAUCAUUUUGACGGCUACCUUUGCACCUAAACCUAGCCGCAAAACGAUUACUAACCACUAGUAUAUAUUCCAUACACAUACUAGAACCUUACGGGUAAGACCAAUCUGGAACGGAAGAAUUUGUAAAAAUUAAACAAAGAAUUGGGAAAAUAAAGGGAAACGAGAUGCCAUACCUUUUUUUUUUUUUUGACAACAAGAUGCCAUAGCCUUUAGAACAUAGGAAUCCAUAACCCAGGAAUCGUAGAACCAAAAACUUUUCAAGAGAAAUUAGCAUAUAAAUAUGGUUUAUUUGAGAUAUCUAUGUAUGUUUUUUUAUUACCAAAUGGUUCUUUAAUCCUGUAGGUCUAUCAUUACACGUGGGACGCUGCCUUUAUCCAUGAACUCAUUAUAACUACAGUCCCUGGUAACCUUAUCUUCUCUCUCUCAACGGCCGGAACACACACCGUGUCGUUCUAGCGUUCUCAUCCUCCAUCCGCUUCCUCCUCCUGCAGCUGCAGCUCUCUCAAGUCAAAGCAGUGGAUAUGGUGGCGCGAGCAGCGAGCUAGGGAGGCCAGGUAGCAGCAGGCUGUAGUGUCAGGCGUUAAUCGGCUGCUCGUGAGCGCGGCGGCUGAGGUCAGUGCGCUAGCAGCGCGGUGGAAGCUUGGAGGAGGCUGUGCCGACGACGACGCUACGCCACACGCGGACCAGACACCGGCGAUGACCACUCUGGCGACGGCGGCCACGGCGGCGUGGACAAGGGAGGAGGACAAGGCGUUCGAGAACGCGGUGGCGGCCGCCGCGGCGCCGCCGGCGGACGGGACGCCUGACGAUGGCUGGUUCACGGCGCUCGUGGCGAGCGUGCCGGCGCGGACGGCGGAGGAGGUGCGGCGUCACUACGAGGCGCUGGUGGAGGACGUGGCCGCCAUCGAGGCCGGCCGCAUCCCGCUCCCGCGCUACGCUGGGGAGGAGUCGUCCGCCGCGACGCCCGAGGGCUCCGGAGCCGCCGCCUCCGCGCCCAAGGACGGAGGAGGUGGCAGCGGGCACCGACGCGAAGAACGGAAGAGCGGCGGCGGCGGCGACGCCGGGAAGAGUUGCUCUAAAGCUGAGCAGGAGCGGCGCAAGGGCGUCCCGUGGACGGAAGAGGAGCACAGGUUCGUAGCAAAAAUUCUCCACGUGUUCUUCUCGCCUUCAAAUAAAAAGCUUGCAUCUUUCAUGCUAAAUCUUUGAUGAUUUUGCUGUGUUGGUGGCAGGUUGUUCUUGCUGGGCCUGGACAAGUUCGGCAAGGGCGACUGGCGGAGCAUCUCGCGCAACUUCGUCAUCUCACGGACGCCGACGCAGGUGGCGAGCCACGCGCAGAAGUACUUCAUCCGCCUCAACUCCAUGAACCGGGACCGGCGCCGCUCCAGCAUCCACGACAUCACCAGCGUGACCGCCGGCGAGGUCGCCGCGGCCGGCGCACCCAUCACGGGCGGCCCAGCAGCGGCGGGGGCGAUGCCGAUGGGGCCAGCGGGCAUGAAGCACCACCACCCGGCUCCGCCGAUGGGCAUGUACGGGCACGCGCCCAUGGGCCACCCAGUCGCGGGGCACAUGAUGGCGCCGGCGGCCGUCGGCACGCCGGUCAUGUUCCCGCCGGGUCACCACUCGCCCUAUGUCGUGCCAGUGGGAUACCCGGCGCCACCGGCCAAGAUGCACCAAUGAUUGAUCGUCGAUCUACCGGCGGCAUUUGCACAUCUGCAGGGCUGCAUUCCGUUGCUUGUUUCUUUCUUGAUUUCGUUCAUCUUUGUGUAGCCAAAAGCCAUCUAUACAUACAUCCAUCCAUCCUUUCCUGAUCUCCCGGCCCUUAAUUUGAUGUAAUGUAACAUAGAUUACUUGAGUGAGUGCAGGGCAGGCAGGCGAUGAGGCGAAUAAUGAGUAUCUGCUGACUGUUGCAAUAGCUAGCGUAAUCACACUCAGGGAGGCUCGAGGAAUGUGUAAUUAGUAGCAGCCUUUCCAGGGUGCAAAUGUUGAUCAUUUGUGCAGAGUUGCAACUGGGGACUGAUCCGAUUCCAUUUUCUGGAUGUAAAUUGAUUGUCUAUAAAUAUCUCAUCUGUGCUGUAUGUAGUGCAGAAAUAUGUGUUCAUCAUCAGUGCAAUUCCUUUUUCCUUCUGGAGCAUCUCAAUCAAAGUUCCCCCACCGCAGCCGUUGUUUUCAAACAGUGUUCAGUUUGGGAUUGAGCUAAUGUUGUUUCGGUUUCAGUGACCAUCUAUGGCUUGAUACUCAAUUGAGAUAGUUUAAAUGUUUCUUUUCUUUUUAUAUAAAACCUUUUUGCUUGACUAGUGGACAGGCAAGUGCAACAUGCAUGUGGAUGUCAAAAGAAAAUUCCUUUGUAAAGAAGGAAUUACAGUUACUCAGUUAGUAAGCGAGCAUAUUGUAAUUAAAAAUGACUUUUCCUUAAAGUGGAGCAUUCUGUUACUCAGUUGCCGGUGACAGAUUGCCAAUCUAAUCGUCUAUACAACUGAGAAUACCGUCAAACAGCAGAACAACAUCAUUAUUUAGAUUCGGCUCCUAAUCUGCUAGAUAGUGGGCUACAUAAUUACAAACUCUUGAGACAUCAAGAACAAAAUAUUUAUCUCCUGCAUCUCCCACACUAAACCAUUUGCAGGCUCUUAUGGAAGUAUAUUGAUAGUGCAGCUUGCCUUGCCAUCGUCCGAGUUCGUCUUACUUGUGAGAAAUCCUCAUGAGUGAGCAUUGAGGAGAGUAAUAGCUCCUAGUGAGUAGGUCCACAUGUUAUAAGUGCAACACAAGAAAGUGAAUCAAACUUGUGUGCAUCUAGUAUUUUACAUCUUUGCUUACAAGCGAAGGAAGGAAAGUAUUGUACAUCAAAGGCAUGUUAAUUUUGAUGAUAGGAAGGAAAGGCAUGUUAAUUUUGUUGUUGUUUUCUAACCUUUUUUUGUAUGUUUACUACCAAUAAGAGCAUCUCAAAGGGUUAUACAUUUUUAGUUUUACAUUUUGGUGGAGUUUGUAAAGUUUCAAAUAAAAAUGGCAAGGAUAAAAAGGCGUGAUCUCCAACGGUUUUGCAUUUUCACUUGGCAUUGAGGGAAUUUUGGGCCUCACACUUUUUUCCCCGCAAGGUUUUUCUCUUAGCGCGCGAUUUUCUUCGUCGUCGGUAAUUCUUCGCGCGUCGCGCACCUUUGUAUCGCGACAUUGCUCGCUCACCCGUCGUUGCCCCGUCUAGGUCCUCGCGCCACGUCGUUUGGUCCUCACCCGUCAUGAACCUCGCCCUGUCCUAAACCUCGCCAGUCCUGAACCUCUGUGUCAAAGCUUUACGGCAAAACUUGGCGGCGCUCGUGUGUGGAGGAGUCGCGCGGGUGGACGGAACGCAGCCCGAGUCGGGCGGGUGUGGGGACGAUCACGAUUUGCAAAGCCUGGGAGGCUUGGCAUAUAUGCCAAGUCUAGACCUCUAAAUGCCAAGUUAUGCAAAUUGUAAAGUCUAAAUGUAAAACCAUUGGAUAACACAUUUUAAGUUUUUUUUGCAAAUUAGUAAAUGUAAAGUCUAAAUAUAUAACCCUUGGAAAUGCUCUAAGGACAUGCAGGAACAAUAGUUGUCAAAUGUCAAUUGAGGUGUACAAUAUUUUCACUAUGACAAAAACAAUAUGAUUGUGUUAUGUGUUAACAUGAAAAAAUGUAUCACGAGCAACUAGUUCCUAUGGAUAGGAAUUGAUUCGGAUCGAAUGUGCAUGGAAUUGAAUUCAAAUAGCACUAUUUAUCAUAUUUUAAUUUGGAUACGGAUGUUCUCAGUUGUGAAUCAAGAAUGGAUAUUUCGAAUUUGGAUCCUAUUUAGUUUUAAAAAUAGCAAGUAUCGAUUUAAUUUAUGGAUAGUAAUAGUAGAACAAAAUCAUUAUAUAUUUAGUGGUUUUAAAUAUGAGUACAUAACACAUGUAGAUAAAGACAACUCAUUAGAAAUAACAUAUUUUUACAAUGGUUGGAGAGGUGAUGAGAAGCGAUUAGUGUGUCUAUGGUCGGUGGACCCAGAACAUGAAAAGCGAUAAGAGACGAUGAGAGCAAGACGAUGGGAUACCAUAGGUGUGUCUAUGGUCGGUGGGCCAUAAGCGUCACAUCGUAUCUCAUCGCCUCUGAAAUUAUGGGAAUUAGGACCCUAAAUAGAGGAGUGAUAAUUUCUUUUUUUAUAUUUUUUUUAAUGAAGGAUAAAAGGGUAAAUUUAUAAUUGUAAAAAUAAUAUUUUGAGUAGCAUAGGGUGUAUGAUUCAAGUAUUAUAGUUAGUUAGAUAAAAAUCUUCUUCUUAAAUUCUUUUAAAAAUUUCUUAGGGUUUCAUCCGCCACCAUCCACCAGUGCGUGUUACAGGGAGCCAUUGCCGCUGAUGAGGGGUUUGGGUUUGAGAGAACCUUAUACAAUGACGUUAUUACCCUUUCAUGAAUUAAAUAAAAAAAAAAAUUAGCGGAGACGGUGGGAGGCGAUUGGAAGCGAUUCCAACCAAAUAUUAAAAAUGUACAAAAUUUCAAAUAAGUAUCACAAUAUAUUAUCAAGAAAUUGAUUAGAAAUAUUUACAACUUUUUCAUCAAAAUAUAAAGUAAACUCAAAGUAUUUGAAUUAAUAUGAUUAGCCAUAUUAAUAAUAACUGAACUUAACCAUUAUAUAUCAUCGAUAAUAUAUAAUAUUAAAUUAAUUAAAUGUCAUUAUCCAUAAAGAUUGCAUUUAAACACUUUAAAUAAUACACAUCAUUUAUAAUAUUAAAAUUAUAUAAUUUAGAUGGUCUCACCGGGUACUUCGUUCUUCAUGAAUAUGGUGAAUAUCGGAUAUUUCACAUUUUUUCAUAAUACAUAUUUGGAAUCAAAUAGACAACACAGUGAAAAAAUAGAUUCGGAUACAUCUAUCUAUCAUCCAUGUUAUAAUUGAAUAGAAUAUGAAUAUCCAUAGAUUCAAACAUAGAAAUCCAUACCUACUAAGCAGGAGAUUCCAAACUAAAGAAAGCAUAAUAGAAUAGCACGAAGAAAAGACAUCAUCGUGGAAUCAUGAAUGGGCCCCCCUGUGAAACACAUGACACAAAAACAUAGAAAUAGGAAAAAUAUAGGAAUCUCAUAGGAAUACAGUUACAAACACAAAGGAUCGGAAAAUUUAGGAAUUUUGAAGGAAUGCUUAUUUGGAUAGACCUUAGGAAAAACAUAGGAAUUUUACAGGUUUGAAUGGAUACUAAGCUCCCUACAUUUUUUCUCUAAAAUAAAAGGCAAAUAAAAAUUUGCUACACUGUUCCUAUUCUCUAUUCUUGUGAACAGAAAGCAUGAACGCUGAAGGAUUCUCAAUUUCUUAUGGAAACCAAAGGAGGCCUAAAAGAAGAUUUAUUCCCACAUAUUUUCACCAUACAAGGAACCUGCGGCAGUGGACAUUUCACCUUGAAUCCAGCGGCGAGUACAGGACGAAGGCGAAGCUAUCAGCGUCUUCACAGCACCGAUGACCCCAAAGGAGGCUUUGGAAUCGUUUGCUUCCAAUUCAGACAAUGAUCAUUUAAUCCCUGCUCCUCUCUUUCUCUCGCCCUUUUCUUUUUCAGUGUGGCCAUCAGCGUGUGACAAGGACUCCAUACUGGAACCUUGCGUCCAUAUCCCUCACAAAGUACCUUUUCUGAUGUUGGUGUGUGUGGUGUUCUUUUUAUUUUUCUUGUAUCCGUUUUAAUUAGUUCCGUUUUUUUAGAACGCGCAUAGCAUGUGUUUCAUUAAGGAGAAGUUAAGAGUCAUAUAUGUCCAACAUCACAUCAUGGCGAGAUGCCAUUAGUGAUGAGGUUGAACACAACAAAAGACAAGGAGCGGUUGAAUAAAUUAGUUGCACUAAGAUAUCGAUGUGCAACAAAAAAAGAGCGAUGACCCUAGUUGAAGGUGGAUCGAGUUAUUUAAUUGUUUCUUUUCUGAGGCCGUUUCGGGUUGUUGGUGAAGCCGUUGAUUUUAUGCCUAUGUCCCUUGUAACUAACUUCUUUUUUUAUCAUCCCUUGUAAUUAACUUACCAUCAGGGGCUAUCACUACCACGAGCAAAAUGCUCGAAUGCGUGAGUUGCAAAGAGACCGAAGAACUCAACGAAUAACCACGUUUUCACGGUGAGCCCCGGUGAGCCCCUGCGAGAGCAGGUGUGUGGCUCUAUCUCCGCUACGAGAGUAGACUCAUCCACCAAUGAUGAGUCCUCCCUCAACAAGAGUGGGCAGUGGCUCUAUCUCUGCUUGUCUAGAUCUCGACGAGACAAGCAUGGAAAGAAUAGAGAAUGACAAGCGGUCUCAGUGUGUCAAGGUAAGGCUUAUGCUAGAGUAGAAGCAAAAAAAGUAGGCCCCCCAAAAUAAGGGAGUCCUCAAAUUAAAAAUAGGGGUCCUACUUUGAGGCUCUUGUUGGAGUUGAUGUGAAGACCCUUGGAAUCCAUGCAACGAAAAAACUAAGUCCCUUGGAAGUUAAGGCCUCUUUAGGAGAGCUCUGAUAGCUUGAGAUCCAAAAAAUAACUUCACUCCUAUAUUUUAUUUAGUCAAACACCUCCAACUCCACGCAAAUCCAUCAUAGAGCAACUCCACGUAAUUUAGGAAUCAGUCCCAUAUCCAUAGAUUUUGUGGACCACCUCAAGGGUGCUUCACCAACUCAAGUUUGGUGUUAGAUAAAAUUACCCACCACCACCACCACCACAGGUUACGCAAAAAAUAGUUCGAGAUAAUUUCUUGUCUUCCUCGCACGCGUAGACCCGAGCUCGGCUGUUUCACGCCCAAGCCGCGAGCUCCACUGCACGCGCCCUACACUGUUGCGAUGGAGCCAAUGCCCCGCGAGCUUCAACUGCAGCCACCCAGUCGUUGGCCACGUGUGCCCUAUACGACUGCGUGGAUGUUGCCCCACUGCACGCGCUCUAUGCCGCCGUGCUAGAGCCGGCCCAAGGGCUUUGGCCCCGCCGCCUGCCCUGCUCUAAUCAGCAUGAAUAGGAGAUGAAGAGCUAAUGCAUUAGCCCUAUGUGGCAGGAGAUACACAGGGGAGAAAACUUAGUACUAAAUCUGUACCAACCACUUUAUUAGGAGACUGGCUCCACAGUAUAUCUGUUGCAUAGUGAAUUUAGGUGGAUCUGAGGAUUGAAAUUUGUUUUUAGGAGCUCAAACUCCCCCAAACAAGGUGCUAAAGCAUCUCCAGCAGCUCCCCUAUCCCAAGUCCAACCACCAUAUUAGGGAGUUGGCUCAAAAAACUUGCUCGAGCAACAUCUCCAUUAAUUGGUGAUCACCCAAAAAACACCCCAACUCCUCCCCUAAAUAGAGGGGGAGACACAGCUCCCCCUAAUACUCACCCGCAUUCCAACUACUUCCCUCACCCAACGGAGCUUGCGUCUAUGGUGAGCUGUGUCGGUACACAGUGGGGGUGCUCCACUCCACGAGCAAAUUCGCGAUUUCUCCGUUCAUGCAGGGAGCCGCCAGCGCUAGAUGAGCAACCCAUCGAGGUUUGGAGCCAUGGUUGGGUCUGCAUCUAGGGUUGGGUGCGGCAGUGGCUGGGGCCAUGAUUGGACGCGACGGUGGGCGUGGCGAUGACCGGAUGUAGGGCCGCGGCUAGUCGCUAUGGUGGCUGUCGACACUUCUUAACGCAACUAGACUCUUAAACCUAUCCCUAGCAACGGCGUCAAAAUUACUUAACAUCACUUAAGCUAGGUUGUCAUCCCUAACAUGAUGUAGAAGUGUUGGUAUUAAAUCUAUAUGCUUUUCUAGGAAUAAAUAAAUAAAUAAAUAAAUAAAGGAUCCGCAAGUGCACAGAUAAUAUAGAUGUAGCAUUUUAAUCAGAAGUAUUUCAGGUAUCGUUAUUUAUAUUUUUACCACUGGGAAGAGACUUGCAAUGGAUAAUGAGCAAUGAGCACUUCAUGUAAUCAUGGAGACCUUAACCAUAUCUUUAUCUAUCUCUCAUUCAUGCAGGAUAAGUGUCACAUAAGAUAAAUAUAUGAAUAUGAACAAUAAGUGACAGAGGAUAAAUAAGAGUUCAUAGCCAUAAGAUAAACAUGAUAAUCAUCUCAAUUAGAUUACUCUAAGUCUAUAGCAUUAGUAUGGUAUUAGGACAAUCUACAAGAAUAAAUCCUAAGUAUUCUAACUAUACUAUCAAAGCAUACUAUGAUUAGUGUAAGUACACCUAGCAUCAUCACUAGAAAAGGUUAUAUCUAUGCAUAGUGAUAUUAGCAAGAAAGAUCAUGAACAUAGCAAGAACUUCCCUAUAAUAAUGGUGCUCCAGAAUCCUUAUAAUCGGGAGAAGGAAUAUAAAGGACUCAAUAGGACUGUCACUCCCGCGAUCUACCUCAAGCUCCGGACUAUAAGGGGUAAUCGCAGAUAAAUAUGAUCUAGGCACCUCGCCUACACAAUAUCUAUCACUUACCCAUCGGCCUAAUGAGUAAGCGCUAUACAAUCCUAUGCAUAAACAUAAUUCUAAUCUAACUAUGCUAAGCAUAUAAUCAAAGUAGACUAAGAACAAUAUAAUUAAGAACAUAAGCAAAUAGAAUAAAGUCAAUUCCAAUAUAUUCAAAUAGAUCAAAGUCAUAUUCAUGAACUAAUAUAAAUAUAACAAGAGAAUAAUAGUUUACCAAGAACUGAAGAUUGAUCCAGACUCCAAGAUUAACUUGACUCUUUCUAGAUCUAUUCCUAUGUAGCUAUGCUAAAGAACUAUAGAGAUCUAAUUGAGAUGGUGACUAAGAAUCCUAUAGAGACAGAUCCAUUCGAGGGACCCCUCUCUGCCUAAUUCAGAGAAUAAUGAACUCUUCUAUUUUCUCCUUCUCUCAAGGGGCAGGGCCUUUAUUUAUAGCCCCCUAGGAAGCAUCACAACCUUUGGAUCAAAUCGACUUAAACGUGCGCUUAAGAUUAAUCCUUAAAGUCGGUGGAGGCAGAAUCCGCGAGGUUCAACCUGAUUGGUUGAAACCUCCGGCCGGCCGCCCCUGAUAGGGUGGGGCGCCCGCCCCUACCCUAUGGCAGGUGGGCCCCACCUUUCAGGUGGUGUCUUCCUGAGCCUUCUGGAGUAUUCCCGAGUUAUGUUUCAUGUGUUCUCUCUAUGUAAAUCUGACAUGUGGACCUCCUUUUGUUCUUAUUCCGAUAACCUCUGUAGAAAUAGACAAUCAUCAAAACUUGUAUAAUUCUGUUAGUGAUAACCCAUAUAGCUAGAUAGUAUUCUCAUGUUAAUCCUUUCUCAUGCUAUGUUGACGGUUGAAAAAGAGUACUUAUCUACCGUCAAUAGUGGCUGAGUCUAGACACGACUUUACCGGGGGCUAGGGCUGGGCACGACAAUGGCAGUAACUAGUGUCGAGGCUCAAUGUGGCAGUGGUCGGAGCGGAUGCCGAGGCAGUAGUCGGGCGGUCAUAGUUGCCUCUACACGAACAAGAACACAAGAUGGAAGAAGACGCAAAGUGAGAAGAUCAAAGAAAAAAUAGUAAACUGUAAUAUGAUACUUGAGUCUCAUAUAUUAGAGGAGAUUAUUGAUGAUCUGCUGGAGCACCUUUCCUAAUAUUGUAAUGAAGGGCAGAUCUGGUGCAGUGGUGAGAGUUGUCUCGUUGAGUCAUCAGGUCGUGGGUUCACAGAUUUUGCAGAAUGAAGGCUUGCCUCGAAUUUUUCCUUCCCCAGACCCUACUCAUGUGGAAGCCUCUAGCACUAGGUCUAUCUUUUUUGGUGAUCAACAUUACCAUCCUAUUGUGAAUGAACUAUUGGUGAGCUGCUGCCUGCUAGAGAAAGCACAAAUGGUUGAUCCAUACGACCAUAACUUUACUGGGCAUUCUAUAUUAAUAAAAAAACAAGCUACUUUCGUGUUAACUAUUCCCUCAAAUAAUAAUAAUAAUAAUAAUAAUAAUAAUAAUAAUAAUAAUAAUAAUAAUAAUAAUAAUAAUAAUAAUAAUAAUAAUAAUAAUAAUAAUAAUAAUAAUAAUAAUAAUAAUAUGAUAGAGAAAAACAUGGCAAUAUGUGGCCAACGGAUCACCAAAGUAGUCGAAGUUGGAUUGGUGCGUUGAGGUUAGUAAUCACUCUUGAGCUCCGGUCACUGCUCAGUUGAUCAGGACACGAGGGCUGCGAUAUAAAAAGUAAACGAGCGUCAUCGCCUACUCAGAGUUUACCACCUCCCAGCUCACAGUGGCUGCUGGGGGCUGGGGCUGCUCCAAAGGUCUGGUUCGCGUUAGGCCCUGUUUAGUUCCCUACACAAAAUUUUUUCAUCCAUCCCAUCGAAUCUUUGGACACAUGCAUGAAACAUUAAAUGUAGAUAAAAAAAUAAACUAAUUACACAGUUUAGUUGAGAAUCGCGAGACGAAUCUUUUAAGCCUAGUUACUCUAUGAUUAGCCUUAGGUGCUACAGUAAUCCACAUGUGUUAAUGACAGCUUAAUUAUGCUUAAUAGAUUUGUCUUGCAGUUUCCUAACGAGCUAUGUAAUUUGUUUUUUUUAUUAGUUUCUAAAAACUCCUCCCGACAUCCUUCCGACAUAUCCGAUGUGACACCCAAAAAAUUUUCAUCUUCAAUCUAAACAGGGCCUUAGAGAGCGACGGCCGACGGCGUGGCCGUACUGUCACGAUGGGGUGAACCGGUGGAUCGACAACCCAACCAAACGCAAGCGUCCAAAAAGAGAAAGUCUAAGGGGCCAAUCAUGAAAUGCGCCUUUGGAUUGCCCCUCCGUUUAGGCCUUGUUUACAUGCUAAAAGUUUUUGAAGUUUAACAUUUUUGUUUAUAUGACAAUUAUUAUCCAACCAUAUAACUAGGCUUAAAAGAUUCGUCUCGCAAAUUAUAAACAAACUAUAUAAUUAGUUAUUUUUUAUCUAUAUUUAAUGCUUAAUGUAUACGUCUAAAGAUUCGAUGUGAUAGAGAAUUUUAUGAACUUUUAGAAUUUUGAAUGUAUUUAAACAAGGCCUAAGAAAUGGAGAAUCGCCGCCCAUGUUUGGCUACGUGCGGCAACCCAACCGUUCAACACCAUCUCUUUUCUGAAAAGUUUUCUCUAACUAUCGUCUAGCAAGUUUGAUUGGUUGCUAUAAUUCUAGCUGUAAUGAUCCUAAUAAAGGACAUAUUUGAAUAAGUUAGAGCAAUUACUAGUUAGGCUAAAAAUUAAAUUAAAUUAAAUUAGUUAAGAUUGGCUAACUAGUUGUCUAAAAUUAACUAUCGUCUGGGGAGUUUAAUUGGUUGCUUCUAUAAUUUUAGUUGUAUUGAUCCUAAUAUAGGACAUGUUGGAUAAGCUAGACCAGUUAUUAGGUAGGCUAAAAAUUAAGUUAAAUUAGUUGAGAUUGGGUAACUAGUUGUCUAAUAACUAAUCCAUAAUUUGGUUACAAAUUGUCUAUAUAUUAGUCCUCUCCUUUGGAUAUAAUAGAGUUAAUUUUAGCUAGCUAGCAAAUACCUCUUGUAUCAAAUAGGCCUAUAAACUAGUCAUAACCUAGUUUAAGUUGCAUAAGCUGGCAAUAUUUGGUUAGCUACAUAUGUAAUAUGAUUACAUUUGUAUUAGUUGAAGGGUGCGGCUAUCAUCCUCCACGUCUCUUUCUCCCUUGCCACUUCAUCUCAGUUCUCCUCUUAGAAGGAUAUGCAACCUUUGGAUAUUGCCAUGAAAGUUAAAAAUAUGGAGCUUUCCUAAAUUUGUUUACAUUCCGUUUGGAUGUCGAUAUUUAGCCUCAGAAUUUAAAAUUGGUAUUAGCUAGCUCCAAGAAUUUGGAUGGUUAACGAUUUAGAAUUGGAAAUCACUAGUAGACAGCAAACAACUGGGAUUAAAAUCUAUCUUGGGAACUCAAAAAUAAUUUAAAUCCUAUAGACCUCUCCCUCUGGGGUGUGUGAGAUUCGAACCCAAGACGUCUUGUCUCACGCAUAUCUUUCUUACCAACUCAAUUGCACAUCACAUGUGCCAAUGUCUUGGACGCUCUCCCUUUGAAUUCACUCGUGGGGGACCUUUAGUCCCGGGUUGGAGACUUUUAAUCUAGAUUGGUGACUUCAAUCGAGAUUAAAUGGUCACCUUUUAGUUCUAAUUGAUGUUACCAACCGGGACUAAAGGGUGUUUUUAGUCCUAGUUGUUGUUACCAACCGGAACUAAAGGUCUCUGCUGCAAAAGUCUGUUGCACUAUCUGUUGGGCAGGAGAUUCUAGUCCCGGUCGGUGGUUCCAACCAGAACUAAGUCUCUAUUAAUCCCGGACUUAAUUUAGAGCGGGACUAAAAGUUAGGAUCAAAAGUCUAUUCUCUAGUAGUGCAUGAACCAACUGGGUUUUGCUUAGACUAGUUUGCCAUCGAACAGUUUCACCAUGUAUUGGUUUGUGGAACCAAAAGUGCUUGUAAGCUUAUUUAUAUUAGCAACAUUUGAGAUUGUAUAAUACUAAUAUAGUGCCAGUCACGACAAGGGUAUUUUCUUUCUAUUUUCUUGCUCAAGUUCAUUCUUGGCGGUAGAUAAUUUGCUGGAACUUCCAAAAUGUUUGGUUGUUUUGUUUUUGUUUUCCAUUAGUAUUCAAGUAAUUUGUACUGACUUGGCAUUUGAUACAACACGAUCCAGUGUGGGUGUAACACCCUAAAAUAUGUUUUCUGGGAAAUAGAGCUAAAAUGAUUUAUUUAUGAAUUUUUGUGCUCUUGAAACAUAGGGGAAUAUAUUUUUCAUUAAAAUUUAUCAUAAGUUUAGCAAACUUGAUUGAGCAUUCAUGCUGGGGAAUAAUUGUUUUUGUGCUGUGUGUUUUAUUUGAGAAUUAAAAGAACUUCUGCUUUGGAAAAUAUAAAAAUAGAAAAGAAAUUAAAAAACAAAACCUCUCCCUUCUUCUCUCUAUUUGGCCCGAAGGCCCACUCCUUUCCCUCUCUUUCUUCUGGCCCAACUCGGCUCCUUUCCCCAUUCCCCCGCGGCCCAGCGACUCCCGCAACCCACUCGGCCCAGCCCCGCGCCAUCCCCCUCUCCUUCUCUCUGCCAGCUGGGCCCGUCUCUCCUUCUCUCUGACGCUCGGGUCCCGCCUGGCAGUGGGCGUUUCCUUUCUUCCUCCUCGAGUCCGAGCAGGACACGAUCCCGGGCGAAAUCGAUCCCCGAGAAAGCCGUGAUUCGUUGCCUUUUUGCGCCAAGCGAAGCCCUAUAAAGCCCCAGCUCCUUCCCUGCUCCUUACUUUUCCAUCUACGCAGCUUAUUAGGGCCCUAGCUUCGUGUGUCCUUGAGUGUGGAUCUCGCCGAGAGCUUGAGGAAGCCGCCGCCGUGGAUAUCGCGUUUCGCAGCCGUUCUGGUGAAAUUGAAGCCUUGCCGAGCGUUGUGCUGAGGUAACGAAGCUGCCGAGCCUUUCCUUUUACUUUCUAGCACGAUCUUUUGCCCUUGAAUCCGUGCCGAAUCGUCUGCAGGAGCACCGAGCCGCCAUCCCUAGCCGCUGGUCAUCCCAAAGCCUUCCCUGGAGCUCCAAAGUUCCCUUGGUAAGCUCGCGUUGGCCCCCGCUUCCUCCUCAUGCUUUCGGUGCAUCAAUUAGUGCAUUCUAGCAAGACUUAGUCGAACUCCGGCGAGCUCCAACGCUCCCCAGCCAUGGCGCCACCGUGUCUGGCCUCACCGCCGGCGGCCGACCCCGCUUCCCUCUCUCUUUCAUCUAAUCCGAGCCAUCCAUUUAAAAUCCUAUGGAUCACAGCGACCGAUACCCCUUCGGCUGUCAAUCUUUCUAAAGAGUCCCUGGCGUUUUUAAAAAUAGAACCCGCAGUCCAAAGCACGUUUUCUGAAAUACGCUUUCUGAGUUGGAAGACGAAAAGUGUGCCGGGUUAAUUCAAAAUACGUUUUCUGAUAUUUACAAGUUUACCACUGAAACUGUUUUAGCCAUAAAAUAUUUAUUUUAACUCCGAAUUGACCCAUUCAAAUUGCGUUAGGUUCGUAAUCAUGAGCACUACGUGUUAGUAAUAUUGUUUACGAAACUUUUUAUUUUCGUGAUAUUAUUUAAUUAAUUACUUUUCUAUAGAAAAUCUUAGAAAAUUCAUAACUUCUCCGUUUUAGCUCCGAUUUUCGUGAUCUUUACGUCUAUGAAAUCGUAGCGCUGCGUAGAAUCAUUUUCUAAACUUUUCAUACUAUUUUUAUAUGAAUAGUGUACUGUUCUAAUUGUAGCUUUGUUUGCUUCGUGUAUGUUUUUCUUCGAUUGUUUGUGUGAUUGAUGAUCGGAGUUUAGACGGUGAGCAAUUCGUGGCGAAUAAGAGUACUUCAGUGAUCAAGAUCAACGCCUUGGACAAGUAGGAUCAGCAAGAGCAUUUGGAUCAAGGCAAGUAUAGCAUCUGGAUUUUAUUUCUGUGACCAUGAUCCUGUGACUAGAUUAAUGUUAAGUAAUAAAUGAUAAAAAUAACUUUUUAGCCACUUGAUGAUUUAUCUGUAAGUGAUAACCGGGACAACAGUACAACCAUGAGGGCUAUAAUGGCUCUGGCUUUAGUUAAGUAUGAGUAACUUUUCUAGCUCGUUAGCGGUUACCCGUUGUGGCGCAAUUGGGGAAUAGCAGUCCGUGGAUUCCUGCGGGUGAAUCAUACGGACUGACUAAUGAAACCAAGCGGCCCUAACUUGUUAUACGAACCUUUGAAAGACUUCAUAGUGAUCCCUGCCGACCUCUCUUGGAAGGGGGUUAAGAGAUUAGCUACCUCGGGCGAAAGGGUAAAUCAUGACUCAUGGGUAAAGAUGUGCAACCUCUGCAGAGGGUUAAAAACUAGUAUACUAGCCGAGCUCACGGUCAGGAGCGGCCUUGGGGAUUCUUGCUGCGACGAUGAUGAUUUCUGUGUGUUAAAUAUGCUCAUUAUUUAUUAUUUAGUGCUUUACAUUAUUUAUGUCACAUUGAUCAUGAGAUUGUGGGAGCUAUACAAUCUAGUUGCUAUACUUGUGGAGUUCGACAUGGACUCACUCUUGCUAUUUCCCCCAAACCUCAGGAGAAGUUUAGGCAUGUGAUCAACCAGUCAGUUGGAUCCUGUAGAGUGAAGUUAAUACCCGAAGUUUGGAGUUGUCUAUCCGCUGUUUGCUAUCAGGUUAUCUCUUUUAUACUAAGUGUGUUAUAUAUUUAUGCAUUGUCUUUUGAUAUUACCCUUUAUUUGUAGCUAUAUAUAAGAUUUGACUUCUAAAACUCACAUAUGGUGCAUAUCUGAUUUUGUCCUUAAAAUCGGGUAUUACAGUGGGUGUUGAGUCAGGGUGCCGUUCGGUUCUCGGUUCGGUUCUCUCGGUUAAUGAUAAAAUUUGGUUCCUAGCUAGAACAUGAAAAUCGAUCGGUUCAAAAAAAACUUAGGAAUCGAGCAUUUCAGUUCUCGGUUAUUUGGUUUAGUUUUGGUUCUAACCGAACUAACUAAAUUUUUUAAGCAAAGGUUAAUACAACAAAAAAAUAUGUAGGUUUUAAAGAAAAUAUUGGCAACACUACCUCUAAUAAUUUAGAUAAUAUUAAUUGAUAAGGGAGCAAUAGCAAUAUAGUAACACAAAUACAUAGCAAUUCAUUAUGAGACAUCACACAAAAAUCAAACUUUGUCUUACAAAAUACUAGAAAGUGAAGUAAAAUUUUGGUUCUUUCGGAUAAUUCGGUUCUCCGAGAGUAGAAACCAAAUUUUUCUCGGUUUCUCAAAACAUGGAACCCAAUAAGAAACCGAUUUUUUCACUUCUGGUUCUUUCGGUUUUGGUUUUAGUUCAUUCGGUUCGGUUUCUCGAUUUUGUUUUAAUUAUGCCUACCGUGAGUGUUGAGGGUGCUGACCUCUACCCCGCUGGGCUCCAAGGAAUGAAGAGAGAGGGAAAAGAGGGAGAGGAAGCUAAAGGAGGAGAAAUGAGAUGAGCAUCCUCUAGACUUAAACUCUACCAUCCGUCUUAAGCAGAGGUUCAAGACAAAUCUCUCAUACAUGUUACUUAUUAUAUAAGUUAGUCUUCGGAUAUAUGGUAGUGCAACGUGCCAAAUCCCUUACCUCUGCAAAACUGACGACACUUCAAUAUGCAACAUAUUAAUAUGUCAAAGUAACACAUUAAUUGGAAAUAUUUUGGCUAAUUGGUUUAAUUGCAAGAUAUUUUGACAAAUAACAGAUCUAUAAUUGCAAGAUAUUUUUAUAUUUUUUAUAUAAAUAAAUAAAUAUAUCUUGUAUUACCUUCUAAGAAUUAAUAUGUUGUACAUUAUUGAGAUCGACGGUCGUACACAUCAGGCUGGGCAGGCAGGCGGGUUCCAAUCCAGUCCCCCAUAGCUAGGCUAACUAAACUUCGACGUUCAUCACACGAUUCAGCGGCAAACAAGAUAGCAAAAAACCACUAGCAAACACUAGCGUCAUUAAUUUCUAAUUUAUUACUCCACCCUGCCGUUACCCAGCUGCGGGCGCCAUCAUCGUCACUUGGGGCUGGGGAAGGAUAAAGAUCUUCUUGACACCGCCGUCGGUGAAGUCGACGCCGACCUCGGCGAAGCCCUUCUCGGCGUGCUGCCUCAGGACAUCCUCAUGCAGGUCGACGCAGUAAUUCCUUCGAGUCAUAGCGGCUAGAUAGAGCUCGCGCAGCUUAGGGUGCUUGGAGUGGACGUCGUUAUACCUACUGUCGGUGAUAGAGGCCGCUUGUGGAAAAGACGUCUCUUCCCAAGAAUGUCCAUGAAAGAGUCGGGCACCAUCUCCUUGGUGACCAGUACUGCAGCCGCCGCCGUCGUCGGCUCGGCCUUGCGCUCGAGGAUCCCCGCCGCCGGCAGCUUGGUCAAGAAGACGAAGUCGAUCCAGGCUGCCUCCGUCACCACGCCUUUCCCGGCCACCUCCUCCUUGCUCCCCAGCUCAGCCUCGCCGGUGAAACCGUCCUCGCCUCCUUGUUCUUCCCCAGCUCAGCCUUGGUGACGCCAACGAUCUCGCCGGUGAAGCUGCUGCCGACGGCCUCCUCCUUUGCCGCCGACGUCUCGACGUCGACGAUGCUGCUCCCCGACAUCCUGACCGGCCGGCCGUCCGCAGCCUGGAUCCUUGGUGACGACCGCCUCGAGUCUCGACGAUUUGCGUUGCGGACUGUUGGUUGAUGAGAACGAGUGCAGCGGCCCAGGGCGUCGCGUCGCGCGCUAUAUAUAUGUGCAUGCAUGCGAGCUUCUCUCUGAGUCGAACUCGAACUCCCUUUUAUGCGUCCAACUCGGACUCUCGAUCAUCCGCCUGUCCCGCUAUGGGCCAUGGCCCCAUGUAACGUCUCCGAUUCCAAUCGUCCUGCCUGAGCACGAUUCGGUUUCAUCUUUCCAUAUACUUUCAGUGUGCACGUUUAUUUUUGUCAGGAUGGUGAAGUCACCGCGGGACUGAAGUUUCUGCACAUUGAUCAGAAAUAUGAUGAUAUAUGAGCGCCAAUUCACAAUUAAUGCUUGCUUGCUUGCUGCUGCGUCAGACCCUUCAGCGUCGAAAUGCUCCUGCUCGCUCCAUUAUCUUUGCCUAAUAUUUAAUCAUAAAAAUUUCAGUGUGCCAAAAAUUUAUCCCCUCCAGUGGAAGAGAAAAACAAAAUAAAAAAUUUUCUAAAGUUCCCAAUACAAAAUCUGCUAUAUACAACGCGUUGAAUAUAAAGAAAGUACAGGAGCCUAAGUGCAAAGGUGUUUAUCCUAUUAGCUUACUUUUCUUUUAUUCUUUAAAUCGGUUGAAAAUUGAUAAAUAUUUGGUGUAGCUGUAUAGGGCCUUGUUUAGUUCCAAAAAAAUUUGCAAAAUUUUUCAGAUUCCCUGUCACAUCAAAAUCUUUAAACGCAUGCAUGAAGUGUUAAAUAUAGACGAAAAUAAAAACUAAUUGCACAGUUUGGUCGGAAUUGACGAGACAAAUCUUUUGAGUCUAGUUAGUAUAUAAUUGAAUAAUAUUUGUUAAAUACAAACGAAAGUAGUACUAUUCCUAUUUUGCAAAAUUUUUUAGAACUAAACAACACUCUAGCACUUUUGUCCUUUUCUUUCCUAUUUGGUGUUCAAUUCCUUUUUUCUCUUUGCCCUUCUCAAUUUUUUCCCCAACUAAAAUCCUGGUAACUUAGGUUAUCUGCUAAAUUAAUAAUGUUAAUGGGGUGCCUAAGACUAUGGAGUAAAUGUCUAACUAGAGACAAUACAUAGGAGAUGUCGCGUCUUCAGCUAAAUAUUUUGAAUAGAGAACUUUUGCUACAUAAAAUUAGGUUACGGAAUGAACAAAAGACUCAUAUAGAGCAUUUUCGCUUGAGCUUAUUUAUUGGAUCUGUACUGUUUUUUUAUAAUAAACCAGUGAAAAGUAUUUUUAGCAUAAAAAAUCUAUGAUUUUGUCAUUUUGUGUUCUCUUACUCAAGAUCCACCCCAUGUGACUAUCUAUCAAAGUACCGCAGCGAAGCGUGGAUGAGCAACUAGUUCAUAGAAAAAUCAAAAAAUUACAAAAUAAAUUUUGCUCAGCUCCACAUUUUUAGUACAUUUUUUUGCUAGAGAUGCUUGCCUAUGCUUUUAAGUGUAAAAAUGAAAUUGUAGUUAUCUACUCCAAUUAUUAGAAAAUUUUAUGGUAUCUUAUUUAAUGUUAUACUUGAUUUGUGGUAAAAGUUUUAGCUCCAUUCCUGCAUAUCUCACUGAUUUACUAAGUUACCUAAAUUUAUGUUUGAGGAUGCUUCCACUACCUUUGCAUGAUAUGUUGUUAUGUCAUAUGAACACUUCAUAAGCCCAUGUGUUCAUAAUCUACAUACAUUUAACUGAUAUAUCAUAUUUCAUAUGAAUCCUAAUCUAAAUAAAAAAAUAAAGCUAGCAACAAACUUUUUAUAUUUUAAUAUAAUACUAAAAUAUAUUAAGAGGUAAUAUUAGAGUAAGAUAAAGUUUGACUAAUUUAUUUUUUUAUUAUUAAAGAAAUAUGUCCCUGAGCUAUAUAUAUUGUAAAUAUUAACUAUCUAAUACUAUAGAUGUCAUGGUUAUCAAUAAAAUAAAUUAUAGACUUUAAUUUUAUAAAAUGGAUAAAUAUAAAUAGAUAUGUAACAUCCGUUUGAUGUUUUUCUCCCGUUGCAACACACGAACAUAUUUGCUAGUUCUAAAUUAUACGGGAUUUUAGUCUUUUAGUGUAUAAACAUAAUAUAAUCUCUCUAAUUAUAUAGAAAAAAGUGGACGGCAUGCCUGCAUGGAGGAAAACCCUAGGUGGCCUGCCAUUGGAGGCUCCUCCUCACGCCAUUGCCGCCAGUGCCCACCCCCCAGGCCCCCACUCCCCUCCCCUCACUUGAUCCACUUCUCCCACCGGCCCCUCCCUUCCCUAGGUCACGAGAGCAGGCACGUAGGCCUCGCGCUCCCCACCGAUGUCGGAACCCGCAGUCGCAUCCACUGGCAGCCAAGCGAAGCACCAUGACGGUGGGCCUCCGUCCUCAGCCAUGUGUGGGAGCCGUCGGUGGCGAGCAAUAAUGCUCGCCGCUGCUGCUCGAGACGCCGUCGAAUCCACCCCUUCCCUGCCCCUUGGCGGCUACUUCCUCCGCCAACGCCUUCAUGCAGCCGACUCGGCCUCCAACACUAGGGAGGGAUGCCGCGGGCGCGGCUGCCCCCUAGCAAUGUGAGGGUGACGGAUGUGGCGCCACUGGCGAACAUGAUAGUCAGUCCUCGUGCGUUACAACAGGACUACAGUUUAUUAUGUUGUGCCGCUAUCAGCGAUGAUCCUCGUGUUGGCCAUCCUCUAAUGUUGACAGAUACAAUAAAACAAUAUGUUUUAACUUUUAAGCGGACAACAUCCUCUAAGCGGGCGGUGUUGGCAAGCGGAGCAACAGCUGAUCAAAACACGUAUAUUUAUUGUUCAUAUGUUUCGGAGAUCAAAUGAGAAAGAUAUGAAUUUUGCAAUUAAGUCAGGCCUUGUUCAGUUCUCAAAAAAUUUUGCAAAAUUUUUCAGAUUUCCCGUCACAUCGAAUCUUUAGACACAUGCAUGAAGUAUUAAAUAUAGACAAAAAUAAAAACUAAUUACAUAGUUUGGUCGAAAUUGAUGAGACGAAUCUUUUAAGCCUAGUUAGUCCAUGAUUGGACAAUAUUUGUCAAAUACAAACGAAAAAGCUACAGUGUCGAUUUUGCAAAAUAUUUUGGAACUAAACAAGGCCUCAAUGUGAUUUAGCACCAAAAGCAGAAUUUCCUACCAGGCCGUAGGGCCCAGCCACUGUGCAGCAUGCCUUUCAAUUCUGGACGCACAAGCGCUCGGCCCUGGCCAGCCAGCAGAUCAGGCCGGCAGCUCCAGCUGCAGGGGACAGGCGGAUCCUAGGCCCAACAAUUGCCGGCUGGCCAGACAUCAUCAGAGAUGGCGCAGCAGCCCAGCACUAGCAUGUCUGUUUUGAUCAGUACUCCCUCCAUCCAAAAAAAUAAAAAAAUAAAAAAUAAAAAUCUCAUGUUUUAAGGCUAGAUUAAUGGAGAUGUAAAAUUAUGCAUGUACUCCUGCUAUAUUUUAGAGAGUUUCAUAGAAAAUAAUCUUUAUAUCAAGAAAAUUCUCCAUAAAUUCAAAUACUUUACAUUAACCAAUGCCAUGUGUCAUGGGAUGGUUUUUUUUGUUGUUUUUUAUUGGGUGGAUUCUACUUAAAAAGGUUAGUCAAAACAUAGAAUCAGAUUCCUUUUGAGACAAGAUUUGAAUCCUAGGAUUACAUCAUUUGUGGGAUGGAGGUAGUACCAUAUUGAUUUUUUUUGUCUAGAUUUUUGUUUAGUCUGGUGUAUUUAUUAGCGGUCCACCUCUCCAUAUGUGCGCGGCCAUAGUACCUAGAGUUGGAGAUGGAUAUGGCUGACUUCAACGCUCUACCCUCAGACUACACACAUUGAUCUUCACAUGAUAUUUUAUCGACAAAGAAUCCAAAUAGAUUUUUGAAACACAUAGGUAUUGAUGUAUUGUGCUACAAUACAUACACAUAGAAAGAUUGAGAAAAAAAACCAAAAAGAAUAAAAAUCCGUGAGCUCUAACAUCAGCAAAGAUGUAGCACUCUAUCUUGCUGGUUUCGGGUAGGAACAGCGAUCAGAUACAACAUGUAUAUUCAUCUAUCACAACCGUCCAAAAUAUGUCCGAAAUCUGGCUAGAGCCGAGAGAAUUAAAAACCAAAUAUAGAACCAAAAUCAAGACCAAUCAAAAAAAAAUAGACAAAAUAGCUCGCAGUUGGUGCCUUCGUGCCUGACGACCGGCGCGCGACCGUGAUGCCACCCUCGGCUCUUGCCGGUGGUGAGCCGUGGGGUAGAGGGCAUCCAAGCCGUAGACAAGAUUUGGGGCAGCCUCCGGCGGCGUGAGAUCAGCGGCCGAGUGAUGUUUGGAUGGGGCAGGCACGGGUGGCCUGAGCUGGGGCAUACGAGCGGCAUAAGGAAUGGCGGGGCGGCUGAGCGGCGUGUGAGGGCUCGCGGUGAAGACAAGGAUGAGUGUGUGUGGUGCUACUGCUAGGAGAUGCUUGGGGAGUUUUUCUUUAUUUUCGUUUGGGUAGGUUUUUUUCUUUUUCUUUUUUUUCUUGAUGGCUUACUUUUAGACAAAUGUAGUACUCUCUCCAUUCCAAAUUGUAAGUCAUUCCAAGAAUCUUGGAGAGUCAAACUUUUUUCUAAGUUUGACUAAAUUUAUAUUAU